GUCCACGCUGUAAACGAUGGGUGCUAGCCGUCGGGACAUACGUCUCGGUGGUGCAGCAAACGCGUUAAGCACCCCGCCUGGGGAGUACGGUCGCAAGAUUAAAACUCAAAGAAAUUGACGGGGACCCGCACAAGCGGUGGAACAUGUGGUUUAAUUCGAGGCAACGCGAAGAACCUUAUCCAGGAAUUGACAUGCCCUCUUUGAAACUCUGAAAGGAGUUUCUUCACUUCGGGUGGGAGGUGCACAGGUGCUGCAUGGCUGUCGU
rnacentral:rRNA from 1 species